ACAACUGGUGCGGGAGAGACCGUACAUGCUCGAGGUUGAGGGACCACGGGCACCGGCGCCGAAGGAGCAAACCCUCCCCGGGAAACUCUCAGGCACAUGUACCGCUCAGUGAGG
rfam:Rothia nasimurium strain PT-32 scaffold15_size32214, whole genome shotgun sequence.